AAAAAAAAAAAAAAAGGAAAGUGGCGACAACAACAGCGCGGGCGGACGGAGCGCUCCGCGGGGACUGACAGCGCGGGGGCACCGCUCGGACGUUCGGCGUUCCCACGGCGCGCGUGUCCGCGCCGGAGAGUGGGGGAACCCCGUGGGGAGAGCGGUGGUGAACCCCAACGGAACGAGGUUGGGUGGGGGGCGGGGGGUUACUUGUAGCGUCCGCAAAGGUCUUCUGUUUUAUGUUUCUUAAAAUCUAUAGCGAAGCCCCAACACAGAUUCCAUUGACUCAAUGGGAGAUCUCCAGGUGCAGCCGCUCGAGCGGUCCGUGCCAGAGCCCCGUGUUUUCCUUUCCAGCCGAUUUUGCUUGGAUCGGGCUCAAAAAGCCGAGCGAGUCUCGUGGUUUUGUUUACACUGAAUGGGGAGGAUAGGAGCGGUGCCAUGGGGCCGUCUUUCAUUAAUAUACAGUGAGGAUUUUGUCUAAAUUACCGCUAUGAAUUUCACAGUGCGCGCUUUCAAAAGCCGUCUCAGGUGGCCCGAUGGAACGUGAUAGCGCCUCUGCAAACAGAUCCACGUCUGAAUAUAGACGGAGGGGGGGGAGAACCCCCCCCAAAUAAUAAUAAUAAUAACAAUAAUAAUAAAAAUAUAUGCCCCCCCCCCCCCAUCUCCCUCCCGAGAGCGGCAGCAAAAUAAGGCUGCGGCGGGAGCAGCGCCUUUUAUUGAAGAGGCAAAAAAAAAAACCCCCAACUUAGUUCCCCAACUCUUCCCGCCCCCUCCCUCGCGGAGUGUGAUUGUUUUGUCUGGAAAAAAACCCAAAGUAUAACAAGGGGAGAACAGUUAGUGCUGAUUUCCAUUUGCAUAAAUUUUCAUAUAUUUUGGUGAAAAUAAUAGACGGGCGGAGAGCGGGGCUCGGCGGAGUCAGUGCGAGGGAAAUGCGGAGCGGGGAGAGCCGCGCCGGAGCCGAGAAGGCGCGCUGUGCCCCCGUCACCCCAUUAAAACCCCAAAUGAACGCCCAACCGCAUCUCCUCGGUGCUGGGAGUGCGCUCGGCCCACUCUGUUCUCCAGCCUCGUUACAUGGGUUUCUGUCUCUCCUCAGCAUCCCCUUGAAUGGCAUCUACUGCACGUGAGCAUCCUCCACAGUCUCUAAGAUACUUUUGUUGUUUUUCUUUUUAAGCAUUUGUUUUUUUAAGAUGACAUUGAUAGACAUGAGGCCUAAGUCUGGAGAUGUUCUGUGGGUAGAGCUCACAUUUAUUUCAGUAUGUGGAGCAGCUUUAGGAUCUGAUCCAUGUUGAAGACAAGCACUGCGUAAUGAGGCCCGGGCAUAUAAAACAAUAUGUAUUCUAACACAGCUCGCUCAAAACAAAUAUGUUCCCUUCUCUUCAGCUGGUGUAAACAAACAAUCUCCAUUGUGCUUGGCGGGCCUCUGCUGUGCUGCCGUGUGUGAGACCAGAGCUUUGCUUCCCAGGAAUUAGGAACACAGCCUCUGACUCUGCAUCAGCAGUCCCUUGAUUAGGGCGCUGGUCCUAAAAGCCAUACUCAAGUUUGGCGCUGUCGUUAAGUGCUUUAUAGGCAGACCUUUCCAUGCUACCAGUGUGUUUACACGUGGUCUCACCUCUGAGGCCUGGGCUCGUCAGCCAAACCCAACUGGCCCUGAGUUCCAGAAUGGUUUGACUCUGUGAAAGAGCAGAGAAUUAGUGCAGUAGUUGUAGCAAUAUACUGACCUGCAAAAUCUAUCCUAUAGAUAUCUAAAUCUUCUUUUGAUGUACAUCGGCAACUAUAUGAAAAAUUACUGAUGACUUGAGGUGGGAACAUUAGCAGGGCCUACUUCAAAAGUCCCGUGUGAUAUCCAUGGACUAACGUGGAUUUGAACCCAGGUGCCGUUCUUCAGGUGUACUUUGCUUUUGUGCCGUUCAUCAGAACCGUCGCACCGCUCUAUAACUUGUGUGGAAGCAGAGUGAGCUGUUCUGGCGCUGAAACGAUUUCAUUGUUAGGCUAAGUGUUACACAGAUGGCAUUCUUAAAUGUAAAAUUCUUUUUAUGAUUCUUUCAAUUUCAUAUUUAUUUCAUUAGAUCAUUAUUUAUGUUAAAGAGACACCAUUAAUAUGAAACGUGCUCAGCUUAAAAGAGAAUGUUGAGAGGAGUCUCAGGUAUCUGAUCCUCAAUCCUUUAGUUUUUCUGUUUCACAUUUUCCUGUUUAAAAUGUUUUUUGUGUCUCUAGGUGCUAUGUGACAGAUCCAAACAAACAACAGAGGGGAAAGAGCCUCGCUUAACUGAUUAGAGGAGAGAAGCAGUGAAAGGGAAUAUGCACAAAGCGCUGCCAAGUUCACAGAGCAAAGGAUAAGACAAAAAAUAGAAUCAUUUCACUAUUUUUUUUUCUUUAUUUAGAGCGAUGUGAGGUAUUGCUUAUAAUAACAGCAGGGAAAUAAUUUUCAGACAAAAAUGUGACUUCUUAAUCAAGGGUCUCUAAUUCAAAAUAUAUUUAUUUAAUAAACAGUAAUUAUGAUAGCUGCAACUACUCAUUCAUAUCAAUAAUUCAUUCAGAAGUAAACCAUAUCAACAUAUUAGCAUUUAUUUUUCCUUUUAAUCGGCUGUGAUUUAAAAUAAAUGUAAAUCGUCAUAAUCAUUCAGCUCCAUAUGCUGGGAGAGGAAAAGUCACCUUAAACCAGAUGCAUAUUUUGAGAAAAAGAGAAGACGAGUUGUUCUAAGGAAACAACGUAUGGGGGCAGAUCUUAAGCUGGGGUAAAGAUGGGCUGCCCUCUGGAAGUCAACUUAGCUCUGAUGAUUGACACCAGCCAAAACCAGUCAGCAGUUUUAAGACCUGGAGUUUUUAGGGAGUUUUCUGUGGAUCCAUGUAUUGAUUUCCUUCUGUAAGUAAAGAGAUAAGUACAGUUUCUUCCAGUUUUAAUCAGGAAAAGGCAGUAUACACGAUUAACAAAAUUCCAACUUGAAGAUUUUUAUGUGUGGAAACAAUAGGCUGCUUUGCCUGAGUUGUAGGCCUGUGCUGCUUGUGUGAGUGUGUAUAUGUGUGGAGCUGCAUGUAUUAUUUCCCAUCCCCGUUUAGUUAGCCAAACCCUCUCCCAACUUUUACCUUUAACAACCCACCUCAUUUUGACAUCUCUUUUUAAUCUCCUGAACCCAUUAGCUCUUGUUGAAAUUACUUCUUUAUGCCCCUGGUUCAAGAUCCAGACAGCACUGUUUUGAUGCUGUGGAGCAUGACUCCAAGUGUUAGAAAACUGGUUUUUUUGCUUCAGACACAGGGAAGAAGUGAUCAAGGGCUAGGGUCCCAGCCAGUAUGUGCUACUGCUGUUAGACACUCAGUGCAUAUCUUACAGCAACAGCUCUUUCCCUUUUGCUUUCAGUAGGCGAAGCCAGGGAUCAUGCCUGGGAGAUUAAUGUGAUGAGGAUGAGCCUGCGAAGCCUUUGGUCCUCCUUGUGUGAGCCUGCUCUGCUUGCUCAUACACAGCACACCUUUGGGAACUCACUGCAUAAGGCCCUCUUGUACUGCCAUGAGCUAAGGGGAGCCAUUUUCCUGCUCCACGCAGGCUGCCCUGUGUUCUUGCUGGGGGAACAAGGCCACAACACCCUUCACCCUGAGUUCAACAGCAGUGCUUUCCAGGGGGUGCCUUGGGGCAGGAUGGCAUGAGUAGCUGGAAAGCCACAGCAGAGCCUAGCCCUGCGAAAAGGCAUUUUCACAGCCUCCCAGGUGAGUUUUGUUGUCCACACGACCGUGGCACACAGCUGGCUGUUCUCCUGCUUUCUUUCAAGGCUGGGCUCUCCGUGCUGCUGCCCUGCACUGGGCAUGCAGCCACCGGGCAGCCGAGCUAAAGUGAUACCUGACUUUUGUUCUUUUCCAGUCUCUGCAGUGCUAUACAUUUUUACAUUCCUCCAACAGUUUCUAAGGAGAAAAGUGAGUCACGUUGCUUAGUUUUCCCCAUCCUCAUAGAGAGGAGACAUGUUUCUUUUUUUCCCCCCACAAGUUAUUGUAUUGUUCCUCUUUAUGGUGUGGCUCUGAUUUAGUGCUGGAUGAAGCUCAAAAGGAGGAUUAGUGUAAAUCUAUUCCCAUAUGCUUGGAUGCAUUUCUGCACCCUGUCUGUACCAUCCUCACUGCUUUUGAUGGAAAAAGCUGGGCUAUAAACCUGAUGAGAACAGGCUUCCAUGCAAGAUGUUUAGUAUUUCCUGCUUCCACUUGGGCCAGUGAUACGGCACAUCCAGCCCCUUUCGGCCCUUCAUCUCUCAGUCAUGGUCUUGUCAGAAAUUCAGAAAAUCACUAUGGCAGAAAAUGAAUAGGGGAAUAAAAGGAAUCUGAUUUUUCUCCACUUUAAUAAUGGCUAGAUUUGGGUUUAGCUCCACCUUUGGCUGAAAUUUUGCUGGAGGAUGGGCACAGGUAGAAUGUUUUUAUUUGAACGGAAUUGGUUCAUCCAUCUUUUAGAUGAUGGCACUGAAGUGUGAGCCCAUUUUUAUGGUCCUCAGAGAGAAUCUGUGCUUCUUUUUAAGAGAUGCACCUUCUGGGAAAGGUAGGGCUGGCUAUAAAAGCCCUGAUUGUAUUGUAUUCAAGCAAACCGGGAGCGCAGGAGGGGAGGAACAGAGACAGCGAUAGAAGGAAGGAGAGAUUUUCCAAGUGUAUGAGAUGUGUUAUGCUUUGGUAUCACAGGCUUUGCUAUGCCUAAUGCUUGGGCAUUUUCUGGGUGGUAAUUGAAUUGCUUAAUAGCCAAACACCAGGCUGCACUGAACUCAAUCCUAAAACUGCAGUGCUAUUGCCAUUAAGGGGCUUUCUUCUUUACUCAUCAUUUUCUAAAGAAUUUCUCAAUAGUACUGCAAUCAGUCACUCAUUUUUUGCCGAUUCUCCUCUCCAUUACAAAUGUGUCUGAGUUUGUGAGGGAGAGGCUGUGUUUUCUCAACCAAAUCUCCCACUCCUUGGUUUAUUAAUAAACAAAAAUUAACUUACAGAUUUGACUGAAAAUACAGGCUCUUUCCAUACCUGUGUAGUCCACUGGAUGCAGGAGGAGUUUCAGCCAGCCUGGCAAAGGCACCUUUUCCACGUGCCCCAGCUGGGCUCCUGCAUUGCUCCCCGAGUUUCUCUUGCUCCAUACAAUGGCUGACAUUGUCUGCAAGGAGCAACUCAGAUUACGGCCCCCUCCAGAUGCGCUGCCCCUGACCCUGCUCCUGCCCCAGGCUGCCCACACUCUGCCCUCCCCGUAAGCACGGAGACUUCAGCUGAGCCGGCUGCUGCCUGGGAGUGUUGAUUCAGGUCUUGAGGGUGGCCUCGGAUGCGUUUUAACAGGCAGCGCAGGCACUCCACGGGGAUAACAUGGAAUGAUUAUUUUAGGGCAGAUUUUCCCCUAAAAAAACCCAUAGUUCUACAUGCACGCAGUUUGAUCUUCACACAAAGGAUUUAUAUAAGAACUCACUUCCCUCUGUCGGUUAUGAAAAAAAAGCAUGCUGGCGGGAUUUAGGGAAGUGUGCAAGCUAGAGGAUAGCUGCAGACAAAAGAGAGUUUUUCUUCUAAGAACAUCCUCACAGCUGGAGCCCUGGCAGCGCUGCUGUCAGAAUGCUGAGGUGUUAUCUGGCCGGGGCAAGGCACAGUGUCUGCUUGGCACCCUCCUGACACACAAAUUUGGCCAGCACUUGUCAGAGCACUGUUCCCUACCUGCACCCACGUGCACAAAUCUUUUCCAUUCAGUGCCUACUUUUUGGGAAUCUUAUACCCUGCCAGUAUGCUGUAUGCCAAUGAGGAGAGUAAGGGUGGAGGAAGAAACUCUUUGUGACUCCUUUACCUGCUAAAGAGAGACCAAGCUCACCUGGGCUCUCAGGAAUAACAGUGCUGCAGUGGCUCUAGACCAGCCCAAAGCAAUCGUCCCAACUCCUAGGUACCCUGAAAAAAAUAUGCCUUACAUCUCAGAGUGGAGAGACUUAAAGAUGGGUCUGCUGGAACAACGACUAAGUGGGAUGGGAAAGAUGUUCCCUUUUAGAGCCCGCACCCCCAGAAGUAUUUCUCAGGUCAGAUCAUCACCUAUGAGUAUAGCACCAUCUGACCUUGAUCUGCGCUGUGGUGAGAAGGAAAUGUGUGCAACAGUUUGAAUCUGCUCAACUUUUGUCUGUCUUGGACUGGCCCCAUUCAGCCCAUCUCUGCCUCUCUAAGGGGAGCAAGUGCCAGAUGCAAAGACAAAGCCUAACAAUACAACCUGUGUGCUUGCCUUUAAUGUAUCAUGAUGCUUAAAACUGAAUAUAAGCAGGGAUGAUGCUUUAGAUCUUACUCAAAUCUCAGUGUAACUUUGAGGUUGUCAGAUGAUACUGAAGUGAGAGAUCUAGAGUAGGAAUAUUAGUGAACACAAAAGUCAUGAUAUUUACUCAGUUUAUGCAUUUUCUCUUUUUUUUUUUCCAAGAAACUUGCAUAACUGGCGUGUAAUUGUUUUGCUAAGUGAGCCUUGAAAGCAAAAGUCUUGAUAGCUGUCAAAUAUCUUCUUUGUAGUAUAGUGUGUUGUCCUCAGAAGCUAAUCAGUAGAACUUGCUCAGAAGAACUUAAUCAGCAGAACUGAGCACAUUGUCAGUGCUUAACAAAUAAUAAAUUAUAAUAAUAACAGCAGUUCCUUUUGACACAACCUAUCAAACUUUUGCUUUAUUUCAGGGAGUGCCUUCCUUGCCUCUAGUUAAGAUUUAUACCGACUGCUGCUCUGCUUACUACGGUUGAGAGGAUGGGUGAUACGGCCUAACAGGGUGGAAGUAUUGAUCGAAAUGAAACUUUGACAAAUGGCUGGAACAGAAUCUUGAGAAAGUUCCUUGACUGUUCCUUUCCAUUCAAAAAGAGAAUUUCAGAGUAAAUUUGAUCAGUUCAAUUGUUCAAAGGUAAAAUGCUAUGCUUACAAGUUAAUAGAAUUACUUUUGAAUUUCCCAAGUCCCUUUUAUUUUUUUUAAGAGAUACUCAUUAGGAUUUCCUUACAGAAAGGUGAACGUAUCCAACAGCACAUCUAUUAUUAUUAAUUGUUAUUAUUUUAAGGGGAUUGGAUAGCUCAGAGGGUUGUUAACAGAUCUGAGGCUAUCACUUCUUUGUCACCACUGUAAUUUGGCUCGAGCUGGGAGUUACUGACAGUCAUUUCAUUUUCUGUUUGUUUGGUGGUUUAUGUGCAAUUAGUUGUUGGGUUUUAUUCACUUCCAACAAGAUGCAUAUGCACAUUAUAAAGAAAACCACCGGGUCAGCUCUAAGCUGCUGCUAAUUGUCUCAGGCUUAAAUGGAGCCGUGUCAAUUUAUCCCAGUUGAGGAUCUGACCAAGGAUCACAACUGGCAUUAAUUAGCAGAUGUGUUAUCAGACUCCGCGGAGAUGCCCCGGGUUGAGUGACGGCAGGCCAACACCAUGCACGGUGCAGGCAGGUGGGAGCUCCAGGUCCUCCCUACAGGCACAUUGGUGGCUUCUACUGCUGCAUGGCAUGGCCAUGCCACCAGCCUUCGUGAGAAGGACCUCCACAGCAGGGUGCAGCCAGUCAUAUUAGAGCCCAAGCAAUGCAAGGCAGCUACUAAAAAUCAGGGAGGGGGGAAAAGGAAAGAGGUGUAGUGCUGGAAUGAGUCACCCUGGAGCUCGGUGUGCAUGAGACUGCUCUGCUAGUUCUAAAUGAAACCACUGACUGAUAUUCUGGGGGUACGCAUGCACCAUCUGAGCUAAUACUAGUGCUGGCUGCACAUGCGUGACAGAAGGGUGAAGGAGAUGCUGCUGAAAAUACAGGUACCCAAAGGCCACAGAACAAACCUGGUCCUCACAUUGCUCAGGGAGUAAUAUUCUCAGCCUUCACCAGCUACUGAUACUCUUUACAAAGUGGCUCAAGUUCACAGACCUCAUGCUUUUUAAUGCACUUGAAAACAUCUUCUUCUCGCUCUAAGACUUUUUUACUGUAACCCAGGAAAUGGAAAGAACAGGAGAGUGGAAGUUCAGUAGUAGCAGGAACACAGAAGUCAUAAGGCUGACCUAGACAAUGGGAAGAUGCAGAAUAUUUUAGUAACGUGCUGUAGUAACUGUCACCUGCAAAAUGUCCAUCAGCACUUCUGCAAAUUCUUUCCACCAUUCUCAACAAGAUAACAAAAGGUAAGCCUAGUUGCAGACAUUGAGACUUUGGUUUUUCUCACCUUCCUCUUAACCUCUUUUGCCAAGACACAUCUGGGCCCUUCUCUGAAUAGACACCUCUGGGUUCAAAGCCACAGAAUGAGAUGACUGAGGCUCGGGUGGGAUAUAGAUAUCAAGGCUAGGAAUUCCAGUCCACACAUCUGCAGAGUUCAUCACCUGUAUUUUGCUAAUAAAGAUCCCAAGACAUCUAACAUCUUUCUCACGCUUGUGCUUGUUGGCCAGGCAGUCACCAGCUUAACUGGGCUGAACUGUAGCAAAACCUCUUCAAAAAGCAUCCUGGCAAAGCAUGUGUAACACACAGCGAGGAUUGGGCAGCACAUAACAUACAGCAGCUGUCUUCACUUUGCUUCAAAGUAAAUAUCUUCAAUGCCCACCUGAGCUUUGGGGAUUUCAAGCCCUUAUCUCUUAUCUGCAAAGAGAGCAGGGACUCUGGCCAGGAAGCUACGAGUAUUCAAGGGGGAAGAUAUUUUCUAUACUUCCUGCAUACCAUGUAGUGGUACUCACAUGCAUGUGGUUCUCUGGGAGGAGUUUAAAGCAGUAAGGUGGAGGAUAGGAUACGUUUUCCAUCCCUCCCUGUGCUGACUUAGCUUGUUCUACACUUAGCUGUUUUGGAUUGGCACAAGAUAGAGGAUUUUGUUCGGUAUGCUCACUGCUGUGUAAGGUGUUUCAAAAAUAUUGGCUUUGCAGCCUAAUGAAAAUACAGGGAUUUUUCAGAAAAAUCAGUAGAACCUAUCCUCUACGGAUACGCAGAUGUAGCGAUUAUUGGAGUUUUAAUUAAAAUAGCAGGUAAAAUAAGUAUAAUGGUGUGUUAUUAUUUCAGAGAUAACAACAGAAUAAAGGUGCCCAUUUCUUUCUUGAGUGCAAUUUUCUAAAUGAAAAAGUAAACAUUAAUAUCUUCAGCGAUCUUACUGAUCUUGUACGAUAAUUUAGAAAAAUAUCUCUAUUAGGGAUAGUUAUAUAUGCUUUUUGUUGGAAAUGCAAUCACACAAUAUGCACAUAGCUGCAAUCUGUAGACAGAUUAAGUAAAUUAAAUCACUCAACGUCUUUUUUCAAUAGCUCUGAAGUUAAAAGUAAUUUGCAAAGAAAAUACUCAGUUUCAAUUGGUUUGUAAUAUCUGUUAAUGAUCUUUGGAAAAAUUUCUGAUAACACACGGGAAUUCCCUCAGGGACAGGGUUGUGAAUAAGUGGGUUUUUUUAAGUUUCAGAUGUCAUUAGCUAGUGAUUUCUUUGAAGUAAAAAGCUGUUACGGAAUAAAUUGCAGAGGUUUACGAGUAUACAGGACAAUCCUUUUUGUGAAUAAUAUACUUUUUUUUUCAUGGCACUUUCUGCCCCCAAAAGAAGAAAUUUAAGAUCUAACUUAUCAUUGCAAACAUACUGGAAUCACAAUGGCACUGGGAUUUUGUGCUUACUUUCUGUGUCUUUAUAUGAAUGUACAGUGUAAAUCUCCUAGUUGAAGGAUCUGUUUUGCUCCCUUUUGAUGUAAUUCCUCUUUUUUUUUUCCCCUGACAGAUAACUUUUCGGACCACAAAGCUGAAACACUUCCUGUGACUCAAAUGGCUCCAGCACAGCUAUUUCCUAGAAGACAUCCUCCCUGAUUUCUUGUGGUGCCUGUUAGAUUGCUGAAGUUGCAGAGAUAAACCAGAUACCAGAAUAGAGGAACGUUUCUCAGAAGGACCAGUGAGACAUCUCCUGACCUCUGUCUCCAUCUGAGGAUAUAUCUGGAGUAGAGCAGAGAAGCAGAGGCACCACAGACUACAGAUACCCAUGGGGAAUGUUGUUCUGCCUCAAGGUUCAGCUCUACAAUAUGGCCAUGGACCGUAUAUACCCAUAGGUUCCUGUGAGUGGGUGAAGUGGGUGAGGGUUUAGACAGAGGCUGGGAUGAGUCUGAAGGGAUGCUGAUCUGGGUGGUGGGGGACUGGGACUCCAUGGCAUACUGUCACAAAUCAAAAGAUAAGUCUAGUUACAGCCAUUCAGCCUUUGAUUUUCUCGCCUUCCUCCUAAACUAUUUUCCCAAGAACUUAUUUGUCUCAGUCUGCGUUUUCCUUAUCUGCAGACAGGGCUAUGAGGCAGACCAUACUACAAUGAAUAUGGGUACUCACUCCAUGCUGGGCUGUGGGAGAAAGUUUUGCACAGCUCUAGGAAAACAGGUGAACAGCUACAGGUUUGAAAAGCCUCCUAGCCUUCCCUGGACCUCAAAAGGCCCAGUGUAGGACUCCUCACCCAUCCUGAUUAUCUAUAAGUAGAUCAGACAGCAUCUCAUUUCCUAGACACAAACAUUCAGCGGUGUUCUGCAGUUGCUUCAAGAGUAAAGAAAAUUCCUCCUGGCUCCUACUGAGCAGUCACUGGCAUUGGUCAACCAUAGCACACCUUGUCUUUGCCAGAAGCCAGUAUCAGACAAUAUGAAAGGGAACUGCCCCCUCCUUCCUGUGUAUGUAAAUGUAUAACAGUUUACCACGGAAGAUGAUGCCUUUCUGACUCCAUCUACUGACUUGCUUUUACCAAGAACUACUGACACUAUUACAUAAUACUUGUUAGUAAAACUCUCACAGAUUUUUUCAAGGCCAGGAACAACCAUUAUUAUCAUCCAGUCUGAUCUUCUGCAUAAUAUAUGCUACUGAAUUUAACCCAAUCUGAACUUGGUGUGUAGAUUUGCUUUUAUGUCUCAAAAUGCCUCCUCAUUUACAAAUAUGAUACUGUUUCACCGAGUACUAUCUGUGCAGCAGCAAGUUCCAUUAAUUAACUGUACAUUGUUUGGAAAAGCAAUACCUCUUAUCCGUUUGAAAUUUGAUACCUCUUCGUUUCACCUUGCAGGAUAGGAAAGGGUUUUUAUUCCUUUGCUACUAAUUAGGUUGGAGGAUCAUGAGGACAAAAUGUUAUUUAUAUUAUAGUCGUGCUUAAGGAGAGCUCUGAUGAAGCCUGGGGAUCCCACUGCACAAAGUGAGGGAGACCGUGCAAUUCCUUCAGGACUGAGACUAUUUGAAUGGACGAAUGGCAUAUUUUCAAAGGAGCUGAAUGAUUUCACCAAAACGAAUGUCAGACAAGUCAAUGGAUUCAUACUUCUCAAUCACCUAUACAUUUCUAAAAAAUCAAUCCAAAGUUUGAAGGAAAGAAAGGCAUGGAAAAACAAAGUCCCUGAAGCCAAGAUCAAGAAAUAAGUUUGGUAUGCAGUCAGUGAAAAGAAAAACGUGUUGCUAAUAUGCAGCUCUGUGUCCACUGUCCAUAGGUCACUUUGGCUUCCAGAGGCUCAUGGUCUUAAAGUCCUCCCUUUAAGAGAGCAGGGUGCACUGGGCAAAGUACAAUGUCUGCUGCAUGCACAGUCCCCAGUUCUUUUGCCCUGGGGCCAAGGACAGCUACAUUAUCUCAGGCAACAGCGGUUAUCCAAGUUUAUGGAAAGGGUUCACGUAAGAUUUGCAGUCCCAUGAGGGUCAGUCUGCCUUGAGAGAUAGGCUGGGGUUUGUGUUCUUUCUCUCUUCUCAAGGAAAUUCCCCAUCCUUUUGACUUCUAUCAUUUUUUAUUGCCAUUCUCUGGACUUCUUCUAUUUCUACUUUCUUUUUUACAGGGAUGAGGUGACCAAAUUUGAAGACAGUAUUCAAAGUGAGGAUGUGCCACUGAUUUAUAUAAUGGCAUUAUAAUAUUUUCCAUAUUAUUCUCUAAAACUCUUUUCUUCAUACAAACCCCUUAAGAUUCUUUUUAAUUCUUUGAACUAUAGUGCCUUUUAACAUCUGUAGUUUACUCUGAUCAGAUUUUGACAAAGGAAUAAAAGGCUCCAUUUUUCACAUAGAAUUUUAUUUAUUGUUUGAACUUUAGAGGAGAAAUUGGUUAACUUACAAUUUAAAAUUCUUGGCAAUGUAGACCAUUGGACAAGGAUUUCAUUAUCAGCCCUUCUGUACUUUCUGUAGAAAUGCUUAAAGUUGGUGGACAGAGUCUUGGCUAAAAAGACUUUACUUUCGUACUAUAAACAUAGCCAAAGACUUAGUUUGGAGCUGCUAGCAUCCCCAAAGAUGUCAGAGAUAUCAUUGUUCUGUACCCCCUUCCUGAUGCAGUGUGCUGGGGCCAUGCAUUGACAUGUCAUCCAGCCAGAGUUGUGCGUGUGUGCAAGCGGUACCCAAAUGCCGUGAUCUUCUCUUUACCUUACCACGUACUUCCACAGUAGGUCAGGAAAAGACCCCUCUGAAAAUGAGGUGCUUGAUGACUGCAGAGGGUGAGAAUCUUGCUCUCAUGUCACAGCUGGGCGUGAUGCCUUCAUCAGGGUAUUAGAAAAGGCUCGAGGAAAACAGUUACAUCCAUUCUAUUGCUUAAGACACUUCCUGCAGCUACUGACUCGCCUUAGAGUUACCAAUCCAAAUGCUGACCCUGCCUGACCCUACUUAUCUUUUAAAAGCUGACAAGAUCACAGCCUGAAGCAGUAUAGCCACAGGCUCAAUACUGGCUACCAAAAUGUCUGUUUAGUAUUUUCAAAAACGCUGCUCUUAAGAUUUACAAUACAAGCUGCUGGAUGUAUGGACAACACUGAAACACAACCCUGACCCCUGAACAUUCAGCCCUACUUACACAGAAAUUUGUGCCUCUCGAGGGGCCAGCACUGAGUUGCUGCAAAACAGUUAUUCCCUACCUGCAAGUGAGCUGGAAUUAAAGCAUCAUAGGGUUGUAUGCAUUCAGAUACUGGGUAAAAAUAUUUGAAAACUACAGCCUUGAUUUCAGAAUUCAUUGACAACUUCUUUCAUUAGCUGCAUUACUGCUUUAACAGUAGAAAGAGUUCCGCCCUUUUUGUGUAAUAUCUUUUUUGGUUUAGUAUAGAAAAUCAUCCUAAUUCUUCUAUGACCAAAGCAGUUUUUCAUCAGAAGUUGUUUUUAGAUUAACUGUAAGUUUCUUCCCUAGCAGUAAAAGAAGCUCAUAUUUUUCUGAAUAUUUCUAAGGUUAAAUGGAUAAACACAGCUUUAAAUACUCAUGAAACACUAAGGGACCGAUCUAGUUGAGUUGUUUGUGCAUUCAUACAUGAUAUAAAUUCAUGGUUCUUGCAGGUUUUUUUUUUUUUUUUUUUUUUAACAGCAAAGAUAUGGAAAAGACAAUUGAGGUCUUAUUGCUCCUGUUGGAAACUUCUGCCGACUACAGCAAGAGUUGGACUGGGCCCAGAGAAACCAGAUACAUACAAGUUGCAAUGAGUUGGCCACACAAGCAAGGAAAAUCACAGAUAACGGAUGCACACAAAUUAGUAAUGUACCUUUUAGGUCAUCCAGUACAGCUUGCUGACACAUUGAGAUUGUCUCCUAUGGCAUAUUUUUGGUUGCUUUGGAUGACUGGAUUAAAUGUCCUAAGUAAUGCCAUUUACUUAAGGAGAGAUUGUGCUGCCCAGUAUAUCCUGUUAGAAGUCUUUUUUUCCUUUCUUAACAUCAUCAUAUUUCUCCCAGUUUUGUUCCUUUGCAAACCUCCUUAUUUCCCUUCUGCGAUGCUAUUUUUUCUCCAGUGUCUUUAGACUAAUGUGAUGUUCCAUUUAGUUAACAUUAAGUCAGUUCAUACCUAUUUAGAUCAUUUAAUCUUUUCUGAUAAAUCAGUCCUUUCAGUCUCCUGGUUAUUUUCUCAUCUCCUCUUGUCCCACUCCUGUCUGUCAGUAGCUUUUUUAGCUAUGAUAUUUUAAAGAUGUGGUGCAUUUAUCUGAACUAACGGCAGGUUGGGCACAGACUUGAGCACCCUCAAUACCUUCUCACUGAAAACCACUCAAGGGAAGGCCACUGGCACUCUGUGCAAACAAGCAGGCAGAGCAUUCUGUUCAAACCAUUUCCUUGGUAUCACCUGUUUUACUGAUCAUCAACAAAAAACAUUUAAACAUUUAGCCUAGUGAUUCAAAAACCAAACAUGGGUCACUAUAGAUUAAUUAUAUUUUUUCAUAAUGCUAGGAAAUAUAAUGGCAGAGAGGAAAAUACAUUUGUUGUUGAUAUUUUCAAACUCUUGGUCGUGGAUAUCACAAUCUAAAAUUAUGGAAGAUGUUGUCUUGUCUAGUAACUAUAUUUGGGUGCCACUGGAGUACACUGUAGAAAGUAAUUAUAUAUGUAGUCACAAGCGUAGCUGUUCACGUCAGGCAAUAAAUUCUGAUCAACAAACAACACUCCUUUAGCGCUAAAUGAAAUCUUGGCUGUAAUUGACUGUCUUUACCUUUGUGUUCUGUUGGAUUGGAGGAAUAUCAUUUUAAUCUGCUCUCUUUAAAUUUUCAUUAAGGAACGUUUCAGCUACCUGCAGCCUCGUCUGAUGAUGUUUAAUGAUAUAAACUAGCACGUUCUUCCGUGCACCGGCAGGGGCUUCUUUAAAUUGGUCAACCGUACAGAACAUUGUUUUCGUGUUUAAUGUACUUGGAAUCAACCUUUUAAAAUAAUGAUGUCUCUACAGACAGUUUAUAUACGUAGCACACACACAUAUGUGCAUGUGUAUGUAUGCAUAUAUACGCGUAAGUGCACACAUACAUAGAGAAACACUGAUCCUAUUCACCUUCUUGAAAACAUUUCAGCUAGUAUUAGCAUAAAUGUGCUGUUAAGUUGGCAGUGUUAUACAUUUUUGUUGGAGUUUACUUCUGUAACCUAAAAUCAAGCAGAUAAGCUGUGAAACUCAUGCAGCUGAUGACAUAACGCUGGGAUCUCAUGAUGCUGAAUCUCAUAUUUCUAGGCAUAAAGGAUGGAUGUUCCUUUCUGGAAUUAUUAUGCUGCCUAUUGCAAUAUAUGUUUUCUUGUUUUCAUGUGGGCACUGAGAUGUUCAAACCAUUAAAUGUAUAUGGUAUAAUGAGUCCUGUGUUCCUUAUUUAUUCUAAAGAAGGCAUUAACUUUCUAUGGUUGUUUUAUUGUAUGAUAAUAAAGCCAACUACUUUAAGAA
ensembl:lncRNA